UGAGUUAUCUCAAUUGAUUGUUCACAGUCAGUUACAGACCGAUCUCCUGAUCUACUCUUUCCCCCCUUGUCACUA
rnacentral:misc_RNA from 1 species